rnacentral:rRNA from 1 species
AACGAACGCUGGCGGCAUGCUUAACACAUGCAAGUCGAACGAGACCUUCGGGUCUAGUGGCGCACGGGUGCGUAACGCGUGGGAAUCUGCCCUUUGCUACGGAAUAACUCAGAGAAAUUUGUGCUAAUACCGUAUAAUGUCUACGGACCAAAGAGUUAUCGGCAAAGGAUGAGCCCGCGUAAGAUUAGCUUGUUGGUGGGGUAAAGGCCUACCAAGGCGACGAUCUUUAGCUGGUCUGAGAGGAUGAUCAGCCACACUGGGACUGAGACACUGCCCAGACUCCUACGGGAGGCAGCAGUGGGGAAUAUUGGACAAUGGGCGAAGGCCUGAUCCAGCAAUGCCGCGUGAGUGAUGAAGGCCUUAGGGUUGUAAAGCUCUUUUACCAGGGAUGAUAAUGACAGUACCUGGAGAAUAAGCUCCGGCUAACUUCGUGCCAGCCGCCGCAGUAA